rnacentral:rRNA from 1 species
UACGUAGGGGGCAAGCGUUGUCCGGAUUUACUGGGCGUAAAGAGCGUGUAGGCGGCCACGCAGGUCCGUUGUGAAAACUGGAGGCUCAACUUCCAGCCGUCGACGGAAACCGUGUGGCUAGAGUCCGGAAGAGGAGAGUGGAAUUCCUGGUGUAGCGGUGAAAUGCGCAGAUAUCAGGAGGAACACCAAUGGCGAAGGCAGCUCGCUGGGACGUGACUGACGCUGAGACGCGAAAGCGUGGGGAGCAAACAGG